ACUAAGACAUGCUAGUCGAGCGUCUUCAGGCUAUGUUGAGGACGCGGCGUACGGCUCAGUAACACGUGGCCAACCUACCCUUAGGACGGAGACAACCCCGGGAAACUGGGGCUAAUCCCCGAUAGGUGAGGAGGCCUGGAAUGGUCUCUCACCCAAAGGACGUUGAAGCCAUGCUUUUCAGCGUUGCCUAAGGAUGGAGCCGCGGCCGAUCAGGUUGUUGGUGAGGUAAUGGCUCACCAAGCCUAUAACCGGUACGGGCCAUGAGAGUGGGAGCCCGGAGAUGGGCACUGAGACAAGGGCCCAGGCCCUACGGGGCGCAGCAGUUGCGAAACCUCCACAAUGCACGAAAGUGCGAUGGGGCUAACCCGAGUGCCGUCCGCUGAGGAGGGCUUUUCUCCGCUGUAAGGAGGCGGAGGAAUAAGGAGAGGGCAAGACUGGUGUCAGCCGCCGCGGUAAUACCAGCUCUCCGAGUGGUAGGGACGAUUAUUGGGCCUAAAGCGUUCGUAGCCGGCUUGGCAAGUCUCUCGUUAAAUCCAGUGACCUAAUCGCUGGGCUGCGGGAGAUACUGUCAGGCUUGGGAGCGGAAGAGGUCGACGGUAUUCUCGGGGUAGGGGUGAAAUCUGUAUCCCGGGAGGACCACAGUGGCGAGGCUG
rnacentral:rRNA from 1 species